rnacentral:rRNA from 1 species
CAAGUCGAACGGCAGCACGGGUGCUUGCACCUGGUGGCGAGUGGCGAACGGGUGAGUAAUGCACCGGAACGUACCCAGUAAUGGGGGAUAACACAUCGAAAGAUGUGCUAAUACCGCAUACGCCCUGAGGGGGAAAGCGGGGGAUCGUAAGACCUCGCGUUAUUGGAGCGGCCGAUGCCGGAUUAGCUAGUUGGUGAGGUAAGAGCUCACCAAGGCGACGAUCCGUAGCUGGUCUGAGAGGACGACCAGCCACACAAAAAGGUGAGACACGGCCCAGACUCCUACGGGAGGCAGCAGUGGGGAAUUUUGGACAAUGGGCGCAAGCCU